ACGACAUGUAGUUUAUAAAAGAUUACCAGAAACAGCGUGUAGUGUAGAAUGCUUAAGAGAAAACGAGGAUUGGAAAACCAGAAAUGCGUGUCGUUUGACUCAACGAGAGGGGUUCCUCUAAUUACACUGUUAUUCUCCUUAAUUGUGACCGCCAUUUUCGCUACUAUCAUCUCUAGUUUCGUCCCGAUCACUAAAACUAUCUACGUAACAAUAUUAGUUCGUCAAUAAUUUGAGUUACACAUAUAGUUAAUUAGUCUUAACUAGAUUAAAUUAGCUCUUACAAUGAGUGGCACA